UGAUAGCUCAGUCAGUAAGAGCAUGAAACCCUUAAUCUUGGUCAUGGGUUCGAGUCCCAUGCUGGGGAAAA